GAUGAACGCUGGCGGCGUGCCUAAUACAUGCAAGUCGAGCGAACAGACGAGGAGCUUGCUCCUCUGACGUUGGCGGCGGACGGGUGAGUAACACGUGGAUAACCUACCUAUAAGACUGGGAUAACUUCGGGAAACCGGAGCUAAUACCGGAUAAUAUAUUGAACCGCAUGGUUCAAUAGUGAAAGACGGUUUUGCUGUCACUUAUAGAUGGAUCCGCGCCGCAUUAGCUAGUUGGUAAGGUAACGGCUUACCAAGGCAACGAUGCGUAGCCGACCUGAGAGGGUGAUCGGCCACACUGGAACUGAGACACGGUCCAGACUCCUACGGGAGGCAGCAGUAGGGAAUCUUCCGCAAUGGGCGAAAGCCUGACGGAGCAACGCCGCGUGAGUGAUGAAGGUCUUCGGAUCGUAAAACUCUGUUAUUAGGGAAGAACAAAUGUGUAAGUAACUAUGCACGUCUUGACGGUACCUAAUCAGAAAGCCACGGCUAACUACGUG
rnacentral:rRNA from 1 species